AAAUUCUCUUUUAUAAGUAGAUUGGAGACUAUAAAUCACUGUAUUACAACCUUCAGAGAUUGACAGCUACAAUUUUCUCGCAAGAGAAGCAAAACAGACAACUUUUUGUCGGAACAACGUAGGUAUGAUUCUAUUAUUUAAUCUCUGUGGUAUUUCAGUGAGAUUCAUGGUUUAAAUAAACUCUGCAUGGCUGCACGAGCUUUAUCUAGUUAAACACAUAAAAAUGUCUCAGUUAUCUCUUGGGAAUUUGAAGGAAUUUUCAGAUACUAGGCCAGUUAUUUAAGGUUCUAUGAGUAUGUUUUGUUUUCCAGUUGGAAAUCUUGCAAUAAUCAAAAGUGUUCUGAAAUCUGAAUCAUUUAGCCCAGCAUUACCUUCUAUUGAGAUUAUAGCUGAAUGUUACAUACCGUAGGGCCCAUUUGAUUGGCCAUAUUCAAAAUGGGACUACGUAGUUCUGGACCUGUAUUUCCGGUGUUGAAUGCAAAAAUUGAUCGAGGGAUGACGUAUU
rnacentral:lncRNA from 1 species